rnacentral:ncRNA from 1 species
AACUCAAGAGAGAAAAAAUUACAUGUAAAUAUCAUUUGCACAUGGAUGAAUCGAUUACUAGAGACAAGAAAAGCUUGUGGUAAGACAACAAAUUUAGCAGGAACUUCAAAAGAGAAUCGAAUUAAAGUUCCCAAACCCGAACACAAGUUACACAACAGUUGAUAGGUAGCAAUGUUAAAGAAUCUAGAGAUGAUGACGGGCCCUUGGAAGAGUUAUCUGUUUUUAUUUAACGUCAUGUCUACCCUAAAAUUGAUGAGGUAGGGCCCAAUAGUCAAAAUAACACCAUACAUAUGUGUCUGACAAUAGCCUUUAAAAAUCUGAAGGAUCUAAUGCUACACCUAUACUCAUAACUACAUCAUGUCUUCAAGGUGAACAACCUUUGAUU